rnacentral:rRNA from 1 species
GUGGGGAAUCUUGCGCAAUGGGCGAAAGCCUGACGCAGCAACGCCGCGUGCGGGAUGACGGCCUUCGUGGUUGUAAACCGCUUUCAGCAGGGACGAAACUGACGGUACCUGCAGAAGAAGCCCCGGCUAACUACGUGCCAGCAGCCGCGGUAAUACGUAGGGGGCGAGCGUUGUCCGGAUUCAUUGGGCGUAAAGAGCUCGUAGGCGGUUCAGUAAGUCGGGUGUGAAAGCUCCGAGCUCAACUCGGAGAGGCCACCCGAUACUGCUGUGACUUGAGUCCAGUAGAGGAGCGUGGAACUCCUGGUGUAGCGGUGAAAUGCGCAGAUAUCAGGAAGAACACCGGUAGCGAAGGCGGCGCUCUGGGCUGGAACUGACGCUGAGGAGCGAAAGCGUGGGUAGCAAACAGGAUUAGAAACCCGUGUAGUCC